GACGAACGCUGGCGGCGUGCUUAACACAUGCAAGUCGAACGGUAAGGCCCUUCGGGGUACACGAGUGGCGAACGGGUGAGUAACACGUGGGUGAUCUGCCCUGCACUUCGGGAUAAGCCUGGGAAACUGGGUCUAAUACCGGAUAGGACCACUGCCUGCAUGGGUGGUGGUGGAAAGCUUUUGCGGUGUGGGAUGGGCCCGCGGCCUAUCAGCUUGUUGGUGGGGUGAUGGCUUGCCAAGGCGACGACGGGUAGCCGGCCUGAGAGGGUGACCGGCAACACUGGGACUGAGUUACGGCCCAGACUCCUACGGGAGGCAGCAGUGGGGAAUAUUGCACAAUGGGCGCAAGCCUGAUGCAGCGACGCCGCGUGAGGGAUGACGGCCUUCGGGUUGUAAACCUCUUUCAGCACCGACGAAGCGCAAGUGACGGUAGGUGCAGAAGAAGGACCGGCCAACUACGUGCCAGCCGCCGCUGUAA
rnacentral:rRNA from 1 species